UACAGAGGUGGCAAGCGUUGUUCGGAAUUACUGGGCGUAAAGGGCGCGUAGGCGGUCUUGCAAGUCCUGUGUGAAAUCCCUCGGCUCAACUGAGGAACUGCACAGGAAACUGCUUGGCUUGAGUUCGGGAGAGGGAAGCGGAAUUCCGGGUGUAGCGGUGAAAUGCGUAGAUAUCCGGAGGAACACCGGUGGCAAAGGCGGCUUCCUGGACCGACACUGACGCUGAGGCGCGAAAGCUAGGGGAGCAAACGGG
rnacentral:rRNA from 1 species